CCAGAUGGCUUGGGAAAAUAGGAUAGC
rnacentral:piRNA from 1 species